ensembl:lncRNA
AAGAGAGAAGAUGAACUGGAGAUUUGCUCUGUAACACUUAACUAACACUGACUACAUUUAAUGUGAGAACUACACUCCAUUCAGCCAAUAAUUAUCAUUGUGAGUUAGACUAACUAAUAGUUAACCGUAUAUGACAGUGACAGUUAUUUAGUCGGUGUUGAGUUACAGUUCAGAGAACUAUUAGGAGGACCUAGCAACCGCUUAGCUCUGAAUGCUAACUGGGCUCCAGCUAGCCUAGCAUUAGGUCGUUGGACAAGGGUGGCUUAUUCGGCAACCUACACAUCACAGCGUCCCUACUGCCCAGAAAACCCCAACGAGAAAGAGACAGCGGAGUCUAGGCAGUGGACAACUCUGGUCGGCAUCGUGGUGUGUGUUGAGGUCACGGGCUGUAUGAAGUCCUCGCUGUGAGACCGGUCUAACAGCAUAGGAGAUACUGAGAGUCUGGAGCCUAAACACUCUACCUGUGACAGGUAAGAGUGUGUGUACAGAUAAGAGUGUGUGACAUGUAAGAGUGUGUGUACAGGUAAGAGUGUGUGACAGGUAAGAGUGUGUGUACAGGUCCUGAAAUGUGAAAAUGGUUGCUGUCAUUCCCAUUAUUCACUGGGGGUGAAAGCAACAUGACGGACGGACGUCGUGGCACGCUAGCACAGGCGAGAUCGCCGACAGGCCCCAGCCUGCCGUGUAACGUCCUGCCUGGGAUCCAACCCCUCGCUCACACGGGCGCUACAGGUUUAGCGUACGUGAACGCCCCUGACAUGAUGUACACCUAGGCUUCGUGGCGCUGCAGGACUGGACUGGAGGGGUUGAAGGCUUCAGGGGCUUUGGAGAAAAAAGAUGUUUUACUGCAUGAGUGGUAAAUCAAGAUCACACGUGAUUUGUAAUGCGGGACAUUAAUUAGCUUUUCCUUCAAGACUGAGAAGAGUUAUGAGGGGCUUCAGAGAGGACGGUAGAGAAGCGCCUCUUACAAAUGCGGCAGUUAUAAGUUAGUUCUGGUCUUCAAGGGGGUGAGGGGGAGAUGGCGAGACUGAUAGCAACAUUUUUGUCAUCUCCUUUGAAGGAGAGCGUAUGUGUACGCAUGUAUGUUUAUUGAAGGCGAG